rnacentral:tRNA from 1 species
GGGUCGUUAGCUCAGUUGGUAGAGCAUUGACUUUUUAAUCAAUUGGUCGCACUUCGAAUCCUGCACGACCCACCA